rnacentral:snRNA from 1 species
AAAAAGGGCUUCUGCUGUGCUUAGCACGGGUGGGGUGGGGAUAACCACUCCACUCGCGGAAUCGCCAUCAAGAGAUUUCGGAAGCACAAUUUUUAACAUAGGGGAAGCUGGUGAUCUACAGUCCCGGCGCCCCG